GCGACCGACCGUCUAACACUCUGGACCCUCAGCAUCUGGGAGGAGAGGUCUUCAGGGCGCCAGGGAGGCCGUGCAGGAUCCUGAGAGCCUGAGGGAAGCAGAGGGACGGGCUUCCCAGUGUGGAACCAGGGAAAACAAAAGCAAAAAUAAACAAAUGGGACUACAUAAAACUAUAAAGCUUUUGAAGAGUGAAGGAAACUGUCAACAAAAUGAAAAGGCAGCCUACCCAACGAGAAAAUAUAUCCCAUAAGGGGUUAAUAGCUAAAAUAUUCAAAGAACUCAUGCAACUCAACAUAAAAACAAUAAACAACCAGAUUAAAAAAUGGGCAGAGAACCUGUCAAAAAGAUAACAAACCAAUAAGAGCUGGUAACGGAGGAUGUGGAGACACAGGCAGACCUGUGCACUGUGGUGGGAUGUAAACUGGUUGCAUCCACUGUGCAAAACAGUAUGAAGAUUUCUCAAAAAAUUACAAACUGAACUAUGGUAUGAUCCAACAUUUCCACUUCUGGAUAUUUCUAAAGAAAAUACAAACAUUAAUUUGAAAAGGGAGUGAACUUCCUCUGCUCCAAGGCUAAUUACUCACCACAGCAAAACAGGAAAUGAAAUGUUGAGAAGAGAAGCCAUUAACCCAAACAAAGUGAGAAACGACAUUCUAGAGGCCCCUCAAAACGGAAAGCACAAUGCAAGUGGCCAAACUACAUGGGAAGCAGCACUCCAGGGGCCAGGAGCUGGCAACAGAGGACACCCACAUAAACUCCAACUUCCGCCACAACGGGUGGCACAGGUACAGGACGACUCACCACCACGAUCUGGGAUCAGCAAGGAGAUGGUAGAACACAACGGGCUCCUGUAGGCACCUGACUCAAAUCCAAGGCAGCGUGAGAGUUGGUGCGGGUGUUUGAAGUUCACUGCAUCCCACUUAUGACACAUGUAAUGCCAACCAAAGAGGAAUGCAGGAAGCUGCAAGGAAGAAGAGAGUUUAUUUGGGGUCUUAAGCGCAAUUUAGGAGAUAAAAUUCGAGUAAAACCAAAAGUGUUCCGGGGAGGAGAGUCAGGGGCUUUCAAAGAAUAAGCUAUGAGUUUGUUAACGCUGCCUCACCAGAAUUAUUAUUGAGUCUGAUACAGUUUAGGAAGUAUUUGUCCUUAAGCAAUCAGGAGUUAUUUUAGGUUAAGAGUCCAGGAAGUAGAUAGGCUGUCACAAUUUAUUUUAGGGAUAGGGUUUGAUGAGUAUCUUGAGUUUCUGAUAGAUAUUUGGAUGAUUUCAUUAGGACGAUAACCAGUCAAAGAGUAGAUUCUAUCUGAUGCCCAAGUCACCCUUCCUUAACGGCCUCCUGGGCCCAUUUUCAGGAGCUCUCACUAAUACUGACUCCACUGUGAUUUCCCUUCGCGACAGUAACCUGUCUGCCAGACAAAUGUAGGAAGAACCUUUUAGGACAGGUGGUGCUAUCAAAUUCCUGACUUUUUUGUUUGUUUUCUGGGCCUAUUUCUUCAUUUUAGUCUAAACCUAGACUAAACAGUUUUGACAGUUUCAACACAAAGAAUGAGAUGGAAGUUUCAGAAACCAAGAGAUAGACCUGCCGAAAGAUUAUUCUGCUGUCUCUGUGCUUCAUAGAGACGUAUUUAAAAGCCAUAUUUAAAAGUAAUUGAAAUUACCCAUAUAGUUUCAGUUCUGAGCCACCACGGCAGCCUGCUGCUCAGCUUUCCUUCACAGUGGAUCCUGCUCUGAGGAGUGUAGCUGGGCAGCAGCGCCCCAGCUGUGCUGCCUUGGGAGCCAGCAGAGAAUCCCAAAAGCCACACUCUGGGCAGGCUGAGCAUGGCAUGAGUCCAAGAGCUAGGUGACUAGUUAUUGUUUAUCUUCACAACAUGUAGCUGCAUCUUCAACCUACACGACAGCUCAAGGCAACGCUGGAUCCUUAACCCACUUAGCAAGGCCAGUUAUCGAACCCGCAACCCAUGGUUCCUAGUCAGAUUUGUUAACCACCACGCCACGACGGGAACUCCAAAAGCUGCUUCUUUAAAAGAAAAAAUACAAAAACAAAAAACAGCCGCACUUGUGGCAAAUGAAGUUCACAAGCUAGGGACUGAACUGGACUUGCAGCUGAAGCCUGCACCCCAGCACAGUAACACCGGAUCCAAGCCACAUCUGCAGUCUAUGCCACAGCUUACAGCAAUGCCAGAUCCUUAACCCACUGAGUGAGGCCAGUGAACGAACCUGCAUAAUCACAGAGAUAAUGUCAAGUCCUUAACCCAUCAAGCCCCAAUGGGAAUUCCUGUGAUACAGCUUUAUAUAUAUU